rnacentral:rRNA from 1 species
CCUACGGGAGGCAGCAGUGGGGAAUAUUGCUCAAUGGGCGAAAGCCUGAACCAGCAACGCCGCGUGAAGGAAGACGGCUUUCGGCUCGUAAACCUAUAUUAACAGGGACGUAAGAAAUGACGGUACCUGAAUAACAAGCCCCGGCUAACUACGUGCCAGCAGCCGCGGUAAUACGUAGGGGGCAAGCGUUAUCCGGAUGUACUGGGUGUAAAGGGUGAGUAGGCGGGAUGGUAAGUCAGAUGUGAAAGCCUGGGGCUUAACCCGAGGAUUGCAGUUGAAACUAUCAAGCUAGAGUACAGGAGAGGAAAGCGGAAUUCCUAGUGUAGCGGUGAAAUGCGUAGAUAGUAGGAAGAACACCAGUGGCGAAGGCGGCUUUCUGGACUGAAACUGACGCUGAGGCACGAAAGCGUGGGGAGCAAACAGGAUUAGAUACCCUGGUAGUC